UGUCAACUACAAUGGACAUAAAUGAUUGGGUGGGGUCUCAGGAGGAUAUACCUGUGUGUGGUGUAUGUAUAUAUAUCUUGACACGUUUCCUUUUCCAGCCUGAACAGCUGUAGACUCACAGAGACAUGCUGUGAAGUGUUGGCUUCAACUCUCAAAUCAAACUUCUCUCAGCUGACAGAGCUGGACCUGAGUGACAAUGACCUGCAGGAUUCAGGGGUGAAGCUGCUUUCUGCUGGACUGGGGGAUUCACACUGUAAACUGGAGAUACUGAGGCUGUCAGGCUGUAGAGUCACAGAAGAAGGCUGUUCAUUCCUGGGUUCAGCUCUGAGAUUAAACCCCUCACACCUGCGAGAGCUGGACCUGAGUAACAAUGACCUGCAGGAUUCAGGGGUGAAGCUGCUCUCUGCUGGACUGGGGGAUUCACACUGUAAACUGGAGAUACUGAGGCUGUUGGGCUGUAGAG